UUAAAUUGACAGGAUACCAAAUACAAUACCUACUACAUUACGCGCAAAAUAUAAAAAACAAUUACCCCCACCAUGUCGCAUUGUUCAAUGAUUUUAAUUUUCCGGAUCAUCUUAAUGACAAUUAAAGUAAUGAGAUAUUUAACAAAAGAAAAAAGUGAUGCUAAAGCAAAAAUGUUCUCACGAGUCACGGCAAUAACGAUGACCUAACCCCACUCAUACGGCUUACUUUCCAGUUUCCUUCCACCAUUGAUGUACCACAACUCAAACACACACCACUGCC
rnacentral:lncRNA from 1 species